ensembl:misc_RNA Metazoa_SRP Metazoan signal recognition particle RNA
GCUGGGUGUGGUGGUGCACACCUGUAAUCCCAGCUACUUGGGAGGCUGGGGCAGGAGAAUCACUUGAACCCAGGAGGCAGAGGUUGCAGUGAGCCGAGAUCGUGCCACUGCCCUCCAGCCUGGGCAACAGAGUGAGACUCUGUCUCAA